GACGAACGCUGGCGGCGUGCCUAAUACAUGCAAGUAGAACGCUGAAGAGAGGAGCUUGCUCUUCUUGGAUGAGUUGCGAACGGGUGAGUAACGCGUAGGUAACCUGCCUUGUAGCGGGGGAUAACUAUUGGAAACGAUAGCUAAUACCGCAUAACAAUGGAUGACACAUGUCAUUUAUUUGAAAGGGGCAAUUGCUCCACUACAAGAUGGACCUGCGUUGUAUUAGCUAGUAGGUGAGGUAAUGGCUCACCUAGGCGACGAUACAUAGCCGACCUGAGAGGGUGAUCGGCCACACUGGGACUGAGACACGGCCCAGACUCCUACGGGAAGCAGCAGUAGGGAAUCUUCGGCAAUGGGGGCAACCCUGACCGAGCAACGCCGCGUGAGUGAAGGAGGUUUUCGGAUCGUAAAGCUCUGUUGUAAGUCAAGAACGGGUGUGAGAGUGGAAAGUUCACACUGUGACGGUAGCUUACCAGAAAGGGACGGCUAACUACGUG
rnacentral:rRNA from 1 species